rnacentral:rRNA from 1 species
UACAGAGGGUGCGAGCGUUAAUCGGAAUUACUGGGCGUAAAGCGUGCGUAGACGGUUAUUUAAGUCAGGUGUGAAAGCCCCGGGCUCAACCUGGGAAUUGCAUUUGAGACUGAAUAGCUAGGGUGCGGAAGAGGGAAGCGGAAUUUCCGGUGUAGCGGUGAAAUGCGUAGAUAUCUGGAGGAACACCGGUGGCGAAGGCGGCAUCCUGGACCGGCAUUGACGCUGAGGCGCGAAAGCCAGGGGAGCAAACGGG